rnacentral:misc_RNA from 1 species
GUAAGUUAUAAUUAAAAUUAGAAGACAGAAAGCUAAUGACUGAAGCAGUCAAAAGUUUAAUAUUCUAAAGGAAAUAUAAUUUCCUUCUCUAUUCCCAUUGAUAAUUUAGAAUAUUCAGUUUACCAAAGUACUCUUAAUUCAAAAUAAAAAUCAUGUGUGGUAUCAUGAGCCUUCAAGAGAGAUUAUUCAAUAUACCAAGUGCAUUACAAAUAGGUACACCGUUUCUCACUUUCAUAUGGAACCCGGUUUCCACAUUUUCAGGUGAACUCCAUAUGUUAACGUGCAUCAAAUGCAUUCAAUAAUUUCUAACCCUUCAAGCCCCCCUUAAGUCCAUCCCUUCUUUUUGGUCUAAUGGACUAUCUUCUGUCAAUGUUUUUAAUGUAAUUUUGUUGAUUUCUUCUUGUGAAAAUGAGUUUCUUUCUUUCCACUUGGUUGCAUGACUUGUUGCCCUUGACUGGAAUUUUAACUUAUAAAAAGUGAGUGUAUGUGCACGAUUAUAUUUAUGCAUAUGUCUGGUUCAAUGGCCACACUAUCAAGAUAGCCCAUUCCCAUUCCAUGAAUCUCAUCCUAUUAUUCUAAGAGCUCAAACCUUCGUCCAAAGUAGGUGUAUAACUAUAUAUGCAUAUAGAAACAGAAAUUAGUUAGCAUCUUUCAAUGUCUCGACUACUGCAUUACUUCAAUCACAAAUAACCUUGUUUCUUUCAUUGUCUCACCUACUUCAUUAUCUUCAACCACAACCAUAUACAAUACAAAACGGUCUCAGCAAAAUGACAAAUAAUACACCAGCCACAUCUGGAUCAUGCAAUGAUCCCUAAUCCCCUCCGGUAAUAAGUGUCUCUAUUGGGUACAUCAUUUUUCAUUAACCUCUUAUACGAAACUUGGAAAAACCCAUAAUAAAUUACACAACAUAGGGCCUUAAAAGAACAUGGAGCAGCUUCAUAAAGCUACUUCAAUCAACAGGUGCUGGAACUUUAAAGUUCGAUUACAUCAAUAGAACAUAACGAAUAGUUGUACUUGAUCAACAAAAUGAAAUGAAAUUAGAGAAAUCAAAGAGUAAAGAGAGGAGUAAUUUGUAAUAUACACAUACCUGGGGGUUUCUUCAUGGGUAUGCUGGACUUUUGUUGUUUGGGUUUUGCCAUUUUAUAGCUUUUGAAUAGCUAGAGGCACUGGAGAUUUCUGUGGGUUCUCUGGCUCGGACAAGAGAGCGAGGGAGGCAGGGAAGGGCAUUAUAGCAUAUGGAAAGCAAAAUAG